AUUAAACUUGUCAAUAGUUUUCCAGUGAUGGCCUUCCCUAGCUUUGUUUCUUUAAAAAUAUUUUUUCAAGUAUCACUGCACACAUAUUUCUUUUCCCCAAAACCUAGCACCCUUAUGUCCUUAACACCUAGCUUAGUGUCUGCCAUAUUCCAGGUGCCUAAUGAACAUUUGUGGGAUGGCUAAAUGAAGGAAUUAAUGUAUAAAUACAUGAAAGCAACUUUCACAGUGUUUCCAGCUUCUCCUUCCCCUUCUUAGCCAUCAGUGAAAUAAAAUAUAUAAAUGAGGAUCAAUUAAGUUAGCUUCAACUAGCACGUACAAGAAAAGCAAGGCAAAACUCUAAACACUAAUAUGAAAGAAGAAAAAGAUCAUUAGGAAGGCAGCUAAUAAUGAAAAUGAGGUCCCAGCUAACAUUAAGCUCUCCUAUGCCUAGCCCAGAUUUCUGGAUAGGGGCCCCACUGCCCCUUCUUAGAGAGCCCUGCUCUCCUAUCUUCUGGAGAAGCAGGUUGGGGAGUGAGCAUGGGAGUUUACUCUAGAACUUGGAUUGAAGGAGUAUGGUCCCUCUCAUCUCUACCCAGGGCCCCUACAUCUGGCAGAGUCAGCCCCAGGGGUGAAUGUGUCUUCUGUUCAGUAUGCACAUGGGUACAUUGAUGAGGGGCACCUGACAGGCUGGAGGCCCUUCGACCUUUAACCAAAACUAUGACUGCAGCAAACUGCUAUUGACUUCAUUCACUGGAGAGCUUGCCCAGAGACUUCCAGGAACAGGUAACUGCCUCUGACACCCCUUACUCCACUCCCAGCACCACCUCCCAACCUUUCGCAUCUCCUUCCAACAUGUCCUGGCCAUAAAGUACUCCCAAUGUGCCCCCAAACCAGGAUUUUAUUCCACUCCAACUAUCAUCUGUGUACCCUCUAUUUCUCUCAAUCCUGUAUUCACAUCAUUUCAACCUGUUCCCAUUCUUUCAUCUCCCACAGUAUUUCUUUCCUGCUGGUGUUUUCAAUACCAGCAUCAUCCAUCGUGUUCCUCCUGCAGUUCACCCAACACUUCCAAUACCUAUUCUUCCUUACUGGCUUGGAUACCAUUAAGGAAUGACUGUGAAUGCUGUGGAGCCCGGUGUUGUGUACAUGGGGAUUAUGAAGCAUUUCUCUCAGCCGUACCGCUUCUUCUUCUGGCUUGUCAGCUUCUUCAUGAAGGAUCUCAAAUAAAGUGUAUUCCCAGUCCUCUACUUGAGCUUGGCAGAGGAGCAGGAUGGUAUUUCUGGAAAAUAUUUCAGCAGUUCCUGUGUGAUAACUCUUCCCAUUAAAGCCUCUCAGGAUCCUCAUGUUGCCCAGAGCCUCUGUAAUGCCUCAGUUUGACUGACAAGCCUAGUCAAGACGGACUGACCCUCUGUGACCUCUGCCCUAACUUGCCACCCUUCCUCUAACUUCCAGCACUUACUCUGAUUAUGCCCUUUGUUUGCUGGCUUCUAGGACCAAUCAUUGUCCAAUAUAAUAACCACUUCCUCUGCCUAUUGGCUUACUGAUGACUUGAAAGCCAAGAAUAGUCAGGGGCCAGCUGUAAUCCCAAUGCUUUGGGAGGCCGAGGUGGGCAGACUGCUUGAGCUCAGGAGUUCAUGACCAGCCUGAGCAACUUGGUGA